CAUGAGGCUGUGAGGACCAGGUGCUGUGCUAAGGGUUUCAUGUGCCUCUUUCAUUCAACAAUCUUGUGAAAUCACCUACCAGAUUGUUUAAGACACAGAGAAGGUUGGAUUAUUACACAACCCAAAUGAUGGUCAAAUCCCAAGCUAUUCUGCAGGCAAUUGGGCAAGUCCAUUUUUCCUCAGUAAUUUACCCCUUCCCAGUGCUUGACUCACCCCCUGCACCUGUCCCACCCUGCCUCAGUGACAAAGCCAAGUUCUGCAGAUCGUCCCUGAUCUGAUACCUGGAAACAAUGAGAGGUGCCCUGUGCCUUAGGGGAGAGAGUGCACUGGUUUGAGCCUUGGUUCUGCCACUUCCCAUGCCACAGUGGGCACAUGACCAUUCUGUAGCUCAGUUUCCCCAUCUAUGCAAUGGGGGUAUGAGUAUCAACUGUAUGCAUUUAUGAGGAUACUUACAUCAUUAUAUUCAAUGUAACUGAUAAGUACUCAAACCCUUCAUGAUUGUCCUGGCAGAGAUGGUGCAGCCUUGAAGUGACAGAACCAAGCUUGCCCCUGACCUUGGUACAGAAGAGGUCCAGCCAGCUAGCUCCACCCCAUCAUUUCACAUUUGGGAAAACCAAUGGCUGGAGAGUGGAAAUGCUUGUCUAAAGUCCACUGCUUGCCAGCAGCAGGAUCUCCAUAGUGAUUCUAUAAAGUCGCCUGCUUGGUUUCUGUUUGUUUGUUAGAAGCAAAGAUGGUGGCGGCUUAGGAAGCCAGCUUUGGAAGACAACACUCUAUUUCUCUUCUCCACACUCGCAGGGUUCCCUUAUUUCCUUGGUCUCAUCCACAGCAGAGGAGUUACUGGUCUCCCUUGUGGUGUCAGACCCUGGGAUCUGCUAUGUAUAUACCCCCCAGUGUGAAACAUUCUAACCAUCAUCCUGCAAGGGAGAUCUGCUUUUGCUCAUUCUGCAGAAGUGAUGUGGAGGCUGAGGCAGAAAAAAUGAGCCAUGCCAAAGUUACGCAGAUACAGGAGUUCCCGUUGUGGCUCAGAGGGUUAAGAAUUCGGCUAGUAUCCAUGAGGAUGUGGGUUUGAUCCCUGGCCUUGCUUAGUGGGUUAAGGAUCUGGCACUGCCACAAGCUGAGGUGUAGGUGGUGAAUGCAGCUUAGAUCUGGUCUCACUGUGGCUGUGGUGUAGGGCAGCGUUGCAACUCCAAUUCAACCCCUAGCCUGGGAACUUCCAUAUGCCUCAGGUGCGGCCCUAAAAAGAAAAAAACAUAACAAACACCCCCCCCCAAUUUACUCAGGUAUGAAGGGGUAGAAUUUUGGAAAACUGCAUCAUGAUCAAGUGCUAUUGUGAGACCAUGGGUGGGUCCCUUAACCUCCUCUGAUGCCAUCCUUUUAUCUGUAAAAUGGAAUAAUAACAGUACCUACCUUAAAAGGAUGCAGUGAGGGUUAUUCAUGCUUGUAAAGUGCUUGGAAAGACUCCUGGCCCAGUAAUAUGAGCUCAAUAAAUGUCCGCCUUACACUAAACAAACAGAACCAAACACGAUAUGGUGCGGUGCUAUCUGCUUCUAAAGCCUGCGUUCUCUCUCUGACUCCCCACUGCCUAAGAAGGAAUUAGGGAAUUGAAUUCGUUCUAAGGAACCUGAGCAAGAGUCAGGAUUGCCAGGCAUUCAAAACCGUGGCCUAGUUAGAAAGCGCACUCACUCACAUACACACGCAGAGCUACUUUUAAUAGCUGGUAACAGCCAGAGAAAAUCCAAUUACAGAUGAAUCAAUCGAUUAAAGAGAAAGGGCGCAGAAGAAAGAAAAAAAAAAUGUUGGAGAGACACAGAGCCAAAUUAAAGCUGGAUAAUAGAAUUAAGGGUCUGUAGAACAAACCAGUAGAAAUAACAAAGGGGUACGGGCUGGGGACCCGUUUACAGCUCCGUAUUGAUUUGAUGCUUUCUCUGACUCUUGACUCCAAAGAGCAGUUCCUGGGCCGCGCCCCAAGCAACUGAUCACAUCGGAACGGGCCGGAGUUGUGUUUGGCAAAUCAUAAUUUUUCAGAGAAAUGAAGCACGUGUGGCCUCUGGAACAAGAGGACUAUGUUUGAGUUAAAGAGAUGCUCACAUUUAAGGAGGAAAGCAGAGCCCCAGAAAUCACUAUCGAGGGAGGGGAAGAGGUGAAAGCUAUGUCUUUAGUUGGCAAAGAUACACCCCUAGUUUGAAAUAUUCUGCUGCUUAGGAAAUCCUGUCCUUGCUCUCAAAGAAACAUCUCAUUAAGGAACAGAAUUCCUCUCUGGCAUACAAACACUCCAAACAAACAAACAAACAAACAAACAAAAAAACCAAACCCACAUGCCUUUUAAACUUUUGAGGGGAAGGGGUGACGGGAGGGAGACGGGGCUCUUCAUCGGGCAACAAUCUCUACAGCUGUGUCUUAUUCUUGGUGGGUUCUGGAAUAACAUCCGUUUCUACGUGUUUAUGGAAAGGUGUCCUUAACUAGGCCACAUAAAGAGCCAGAGCAUCUAUAAAUAAAUUAAGGAGGCUGCGAGGCCUGGUGCUGGCCCCUCUGGCUGCAGCCCUGCCACACAGCUGUCGUCUUUGUGCCUGGCCGGCCGGGUCCCAUUGUAGAUGUGAUUACUCCGUGGGUGGGGUGGGGCGUGUGGGGACACUGGUGCAGAAGGUGGGCUUUGCCGCCGCUGGGGACUGGCCUCACUGGGCCGGAAGCCCCUGGUGGUCGUCUCAGCCUGUGCAGGUGACCACGUGGCAGUCACUCUGUGGGAGCCAACUGCGUGCGGCCGGGGCUCAGGCUGGGCCACGUUUACAGAUGGUGGUGUUGGGAUGGUGGAGCUGGGGGUGGCAGGGACAGGGCCGAAGACAAGAGCAGCAAAAUAACCCUGAAUAUACGUAAGUUUAAACAGAGCCGGGAGGGAGUUCCAGUUGUGGCUGAGUGGUAAUGAACCCUCCUAGUAUCCUUAGGAUGCAUCUCACUCAGUGGGUUAAGAAUCCAGCAUUGCUGUGGUGGUGUAGGCUGCUUGCUGCAGCUCGCAUUAGACCCCAGCCUGGAAAACUCCAUAUGCCGCAGGUGCAGUCACAAAAAGCAAAAAAAAAAAAAAAAAAAUUUAAAUUAAAAAAUCUAACAGAGCCAGGAGAGGGGGCCACAGGGAUGAGGGAAGCUUUUCCAGACUUUGAGACUCCAAUCUUUUUCCCCCACCCUGGGAUCAGUGCCCCUGCUAAGCACCUCCUUCUGGAAAAGGCAUCAGGAGCCAAGGAUCCAGAGUUUUGCUGGCAGGUUUUUUUCCUGGGCACUCACUUAGCGAUUGAAUUAAAAAUAAAUAUAUAAAUAAAAAGGCAAUAGGCAGCUCUUUCCUUUAGAGAAAUGGGGGGAAAGGAGCUUUUAUUUUCUUUGCUUGGUAAUCAUUUCUGGAUUUCCUGGGUAUCUUGUCUUUGAAAGGGCCUCACUACUUGAAGCAGCCAUCCCUGGACCUGCAACAUCAGCAUUUUUCAUUCAAAAGCAAGGUCUCAGGCCCUCCAGACUCCCUGAAUCAGAAUCUGCAGUUCUAUGAGUCCCCCGCACCGAGAGAGGGAAUGUUUGUGCGCUUUUCACUUGAAAAGCUCUAGUCUGAAACAUUCAUCCUUAACUCCGGCUGAACAUUAGAAUCACCUGCACUGAUGGGUUGACUUGUGUCCUCCUUUGAUGUUGAAGAGCAGCCCCCCAUCCCAAGACCUUGUUUGGAAAUAAGGUCUUUGCAGAGAAUCAGCGUCUUAGGGUGGCCUCUAAUCCAUCACACCUUAUAAAAAGGGAGAUCUGGGUGCAGGGACAGACAUGCACUCAGGGAGACUGACAUGCAAAGAUGAAAACAGAGACUGGAGUGAUGCAUCUAUAAGCAAAAUGAUGCCAAAGAUUGCUAGUAAACCUCAGGAAGCUGGGGGACAGGCAGGAACAGAUUCUUCUUCACGCCCUCAGAGGAAACCAAACCUGCCAGUGGUACUUGGACUUCUGGUCUCUGAGAGACAAUACAUUUCUCUUGUUUCAGCCACCCAGUUUGUGGUCCUUGUUAUGCUGGUCCUUGUUUUGGCAGUCCUAGCAAACUAGUACACCUGGAUAAUUCUGUGAAAAAUCCAGGUUUUUGAGCUCUGAUGUGUUUGUAAUCAGACACUUGGGGACCAGCAUUGGCUAAAUGUUCUUUGGGAGAUUCUAGGAGUUGGUAGUUUGGGAGCCAGAGGUCCUCUGUGCCUAGUGCUCACUCACACAGUAUCCUCCCUAAGAGCAGAUGCUUGGAUGUACCAAUCUGCUUUUAGACUUCCAGUGAUGGGGAGCGCAUUACCUGAUGGGGAGCCUUAUCCAUCAGGGAGCAGGCUGAUUGUUCAAAGGAAUCUUUAAAUAGAGCUAAAAUCCUCUAAAAUUUCCUCUAUGAUAAAGAUGAAGAAACUGAGACUCUGACAAGUUCAGUGAGUCGUCCAAGUCCAUAUAGUCAGUAUGGGGCCAACUAGGGAUUUGAAUCCAGAUGAUUGCCCGAGCCUAUCCUCCUGAUACUUAAACUACCCAGACGACCUCUAGUUUACAAAGGGCCAUCACAGCUGUGCUCCAGUCAAGACUCCCUCCAACCCUGGGAGGCAGAGAGUCAAGAUCCCUCCCUUACCCUCACAUCUGGAUGGUGGGGUGAGAGGGUGGAGAAUGAGGCUGCAAGAGGGAAUUGUGUGGUCCCCUGGGCACCUAGGCUAUGUAUUUGCCACAAGUGCCUCCAGAACGUGGAUGAAUUGGAUGGAGGCCAGGGUAUGGAUUUGGUUCUGUGUCAGGGCCUGCUCCUGAGCCUCAUCCCCGAUGGUAUCUCUCAUGCUCUCCUGGCCCUCGGUGUUCACACCUGUGAAAUGGGGAUAAUAAACUCUGCCUUUUCAAAGAUAAAGACAAAUAUCACAUGAUAUGACUUACAUGUGGAUCUGAAAUAUGGCACAAACAAACCUGUCUUCAAAACAUAAACGGACUCACAGAUAUAGAGAAGAGACUUGUGGUUGCCAAGGGGGAGGGGGGAGAAGUGGGAUGAGUGGGAGUUUAGGGUUAAUAGAUGCAAACUAUUACAUUUAGAAUGGAUAAGCAAUGAGAUCCUACUAUACAGCACAGGGAAAUAUACCCAGUAUCUUGGGAUAGAACAUGAUGGAAGUUAAUAUAAGAAAAGAAAUUGUGUGUGUGCAUGUAUGUGUGUGUGUGUGUGUGUGUGUGUUUGUGUAUAAAACUGGGUCACUUUGCUGUACAGCAGAAAUUGGCACAGCAUUGUAAAUCAACUACAUCCUAAUAAAAAAAUGAACUCUGCCUUUUAUACCUUGUAGCAGCAUUGAGGAACUUCAGUGAGAUCAGGAAUAUGCCUUAUGAAGAGCAAAUGUGAUGAUCAUUAUAACUUUGCCUGAGAAGGGAGCUUAGGUGAUUCUGUGAUAAAACUUCUCAUUUAUAGAUAGGUCAUUCAUACCAUAUUUUAGAGUUCACAUAUGUGAUAUCACAUGGUGUCUGUCUUUCUUUUUCUGACUUACUUCACUCAGUAUGAGAGUCUCUAGUUCCAUCCAUGUUGCUGCAAAUGGCAUUGUUUAGUCCUUUUUAUGGCUAAGUAGUAUUCCAUUGUAUAUAUGUAUCACAUCUUCUUAAUCCAUUCAUGUGUCAAUGGGCAUUUAGGUCUUUUCCAUGUCUUGGCUGUUGUGAAUAUUGCUGCAAUGAACAUACAGGUGCAUGUAUCUUACAAAUGACCUAUCUACAAAACAAAGAACAGAUUAUGGAGUUGAAGGACAGAUUUGUGUUUGCCGGGGGAAGGGAGUGGGAUGGAUUGGGAGUUGGGUUAGUAGAUGCAAAAUAUUGCAUUUGGAGUGGAUAAGCAAUGAUAUCCUGCCAUGUGGCACAGAGAACUAUAUCCAGUCACUUGUGAUGGAACAGGAUGGAGGAUAAUGAGAGAAAAAAAAUGUAUGUAUAUAUAUGUAUUUAUGUAUAACUGGGUCACUUUUUUGUAUAUCAGAAAUAGGCAGAACAUCGUAAAUUAACUGGAAUAAAAAUAAAGAAAUUGAAAACUAAAAAAAAAAAAGAAAAA
rnacentral:lncRNA from 1 species